CCCACUGAGUUUAAGACUAUCAAUAAAUGGAGGAAAAUAAACUUAAAAGGAUUCCCUCAGUAACGACAAGCAAACCAAGAAUAGCCAGCCUUAGAAUUGAGUGGCUUCAUCAUCCGAAUUAUAAUCUAGAGAAGCUUCCUCAGUGGCAGACCGGCCCAAGUCCCAUGGAAGGGGUGCUAUAGAGGGUGAGAGCCCCAUUGUGCUCGGACCCUAUCGCACCACGAGGCGCUAUCUAUGAGUCAGGUUAUUUGGGAAUGCAGCCCAAAUCGGGCGGUGAAUUCCGCCCAAGGCUAAAUACGGGCGAGACGCCGAUAAUGAACAAGUACCGUGAGGUAAAGAUGAAACCGACUUUGAAGAAAGAGUCAAAGAGUGCUUGAAAUUAUUGGGAGGGAAAUGGAUGGGAGAUGGUGAUAUGCCCCAGUCGGAUGUGGAAUGGAGAUGAGCCGGUUCGUCGUUCGACUCAGGGUGUGGACCAGCAUGGAUUGGGGGAGGCCAAAGCCCGAGCUCUUGGUACGCUUGUGGAACGCCAUCUCCUUAAUUGUGGCAGGCAGUGCGUGCCUCCAAUGUGCUUCAACAUCUGCGCCCUUCGGAUGCUGGCCUGUGGGCUCCCCAUUCAACCCGUCUUGAAACACAG
rfam:Capsicum annuum cultivar Zunla-1 unplaced genomic scaffold scaffold2793, whole genome shotgun sequence